rnacentral:rRNA from 1 species
GGUGAAAUGCAUAGAUAUGAUACAGAACUCCGAUAGCGAAGGCAGCUCACUAAACUGAAACUGACGCUCAGGCACGAAAGCGUGGGGAGCAAACAGGAUUAGAUACCCUGGUAGUCCACGCCGUAAACGAUGAUCACUCGUUGUUGGCAACACAUCGUCAGCGACUGAACGAAAGUAUUAAGUGAUCCACCUGGGGAGUACGAUCGCAAGGUUGAAACUCAAAGGAAUUGACGGGGGCCCGCACAAGCGGAGGAGCAUGUGGUUUAAUUCGAUGAUACGCGAGGAACCUUACCUGGGCUUAGAUGUAGAACGACCGUCCGGGAAACCGGACUUCUCUUCGGAGCGUUUUACAAGGUGCUGCAUGGUUGUCGUCAGCUCGUGCCGUGAGGUGUCGGGUUAAGUCCCAUAACGAGCGCAACCCCUAUCCUUAGUUGCCAUCAGGUAAUGCUGGGGACUCUAAGGAAACUGCCUACGCAAGUAGUGAGGAAGGUGGGGAUGACGUCAAAUCAGCACGGCCCUUAUGUCCAGGGCUACACACGUGCUACAAUGGCCGGUACAGAGGGUCGCUACCUGGUGACAGGAUGCUAAUCUCGAAAACCGGUCUCAGUUCGGAUCGAAGUCUGCAACUCGACUUCGUGAAGUUGGAUUCGCUAGU